UUAUUGAAUUUGCCGAAAAAGUACUGGAUUUGCACCACCAAAUCCAAACCCACCACUCAUACUCAUACAUCACGUUUAAUUUAAUAUUUUCCCCUCUCUGCGUUUAAUAAUUUAAUGUCUUAAUAAAUAUACGAUUGCGUGACCUCCAUAUCUAUUUCCUGCUUUUCACACCUCUCCGUUUCUCUCUCCUCCCUUUCUCUCUCUCUCUCGAAAUUGCGUGAGGUUUCCGUGAAUGUGACCUCUGCGUUAAUUUUCAUAUUUGGAGGGAAAUCUGCUUUCAAUUUCGCGGAAUUUGAUGGGAUUGUUCUCCUAUUCUUGACCCCCGUCUGUUGAUUCUCUUUCUUGUUUCUGGAAAUUUUAUCUCUUUUAUGGAGGGUAAAGUUCCGGGGAUGGAUGAGGCCAAGAAGGCAGAGACUCACAUGACAUCAGCUGCGGCUUUUGUCGAGGGAGGGAUACAGGAGUCUUGUGAUGAUGCUUGUAGCAUAUGCCUCGAGGGGUUUAGUGAUAGCGAUCCUAUGACGGUGACAAGUUGCAAGCAUGAGUUCCACCUUCAGUGCAUUCUUGAAUGGUGCCAAAGAAGCUCCAAUUGUCCAAUGUGCUGGCAAAGUAUUAGUCUGAAGGAUCCUGCAAAUCAAGAAUUACUUGAGGCUGUAGAACGUGAAAGAAGCAUCAGGUUAACUCCGUCGAGGAAUGCAACAAUAUUUCGUCAUCCUACUCUCGGGGAUUUUGAAUUGCAGCAUUUACCAGCUGGAAUUAACGAUGCUGAACUUCAGGAGCGGAUUAUCCAACAUUUGGCAACUGCUGCUGCAAUGGGGAGAACUCACCGAAUUGCUCGGAGGGAGGGCUCAAGGAGUCGUUCUUCUGCUCAUACCCGUCCACAGUUUGUUGUAUUCUCAGGUCAUCCUCCUGGAUCUUCUGCUGGUUCUGGUGGAGAAGAAAUUGAGCCAAUUGCAGCAGCUGAAAAUAACCCAUCAGUUCCAGUCACAACUGUAAAUAACAUCGGAAGCAAUCAAAAUUCGGCUUCAUCAUCCAGACCUUUAGUGGUGCCAACUUCUGGCCAAGGAUCUUCAAAUGAUAAUAGAAGCUACACAAGCCAGUCGUCCUUGCCAAAUCAAGACAGAGCCGGACCAUCUGAGUUACAGUCCAUUUCAGAUUCCUGGAAGUCUCGAUUCAGUUCUAUGUCAAUGAAAUACAAGGAGUCCAUUUCAAAGAGUACAAAGGAAUGGAAGGACAAGCUGUUUUCCCGUAGCUCUUCCAUGGCAGAUAUUGGUUCUGAAGUCAGGAAGGAGGUAAAUGCUGGAAUUGCUACUGUAUCCCGCAUGAUGGAACGUCUUGAAAGUAGAGAUAAUGAUAGUCAUGUGCCAGCAACAAAUAGUGCAGAAAGUUCUUCGGGCACUGGACCAAGCAACAAUAGUAGGGAUACUCCCAGUGAUACAUCAUUGAAUGGAAAAAACUCUGCUUCCGUUGCUGCAAGUUCAGUAUCAAGUUAAAAUUAUAAAAUUGCUAAGGGGUGUCCAUCCUCAGCAUUUCAUCUUUGAAGGUAUAUGAUCCAAAUAUGAAAUGCUGAGGAUGAGAUAGUGAGUGGUAGAGGGAAAAGUUUAAUCGUUGUUUGAUCCGAACAGACGAAGAAGAGACAGAAGACUUGGUAGUGGAAGAGAACUUGUUAAACUUGGUUACGAUAUAUCUGUAUCUGCUUGUAACUGCAAACAUGAAUGUUGCACUGUGACUUUCGGAGUUAGAUUUUGUCAGAGAUAGUGUAGUGGAUGCUUUCUUGUUUGUCCAUUUGAAUUGAUGCAUGGAACUGCCAACGCUUUCACCACAUAAUGUUAAUAACUGACCGGUGUUGUUGAUUCUGCA